GUUAAGUCCCGCAACGAGCGCAACCCCUUUCUUCAUUUGCCAGCAUUUAGUCGGGGACUAUGAAGAUACUGCCAGCGCAAGCUGGAGGAAGGUGGGGAUGACGUCAAGUCCUCAUGGCCCUUAUGGGUUGGGCUACACACGUGCUACAGUGGCGAAAACAACGAGAUGCAAGAGCGCAAGCUGGAGCUAAUCUUCAAAAAUCGCCUCGGUUCGGAUUGCUCUCUGCAACUCGAGAGCAUGAAGCAGGAAUCGCUAGUAAUCGCAGAUCAGCAUGCUGCGGUGAAUACGUUCCCGGGCCUU
rnacentral:rRNA from 1 species